rnacentral:rRNA from 1 species
CCAGAGAAAUUUGGAUUAAUGCCCCAUAGUACUGUUUGAUUGCAUGAUUAAAUAGUUAAAGAUUUAUCGGAUAAAGAUGGCCAUGCGUACCAUUAGUUAGUUGGUAAGGUAACGGCUUACCAAGGCAGCGAUGGUUAGGGGCCCUGAGAGGGGGAUCCCCCACACUGGUACUGAGACACGGACCAGACUCCUACGGGAGGCAGCAGUGAGGAAUAUUGGACAAUGGAGGAGACUCUGAUCCAGCCAUGCCGCGUGCAGGAUGACGGCCCUAUGGGUUGUAAACUGCUUUUAUACAGGAAGAAACCUUUCCACGUGUGGAAAGCUGACGGUACUGUAAGAAUAAGGACCGGCUAACUCCGUGCCAGCAGCCGCGGUAAUACGGAGGGUCCGAGCGUUAUCCGGAAUCAUUGGGUUUAAAGGGUCCGUAGGCGGGCCUAUAAGUCAGGGGUGAAAGUUUGUGGCUCAACCAUAAAAUUGCCCUUGAUACUGUAGGUCUUGAGUUAUAGUGAAGUUGCCGGAACAUGUGGUGUAGCGGUGAAAUGCAUAGAUAUCACAUAGAACACCAAUUGCGA